rnacentral:rRNA from 1 species
UACAGAGGUCUCAAGCGUUGUUCGGAUUCAUUGGGCGUAAAGGGCGCGUAGGCGGCGGGGUAAGUCUGGUAUGAAAUCUCGGAGCUCAACUCCGAAAUUGCACUGGAUACUGCUCUGCUUGAGGGUUGGAGAGGAGAUCGGAAUUCACGGUGUAGCAGUGAAAUGCGUAGAUAUCGUGAGGAAGACCAGUGGCGAAGGCGGAUCUCUGGACAAAUCCUGACGCUGAGGCACGAAGGCCAGGGGAGCAAACGGG